AAACAUCGAACCUCAUGCUGCAUUUAAAACUGUAAAACAGGCCAAAUAACAGUUAACCGACAAACACACUAGACUCGGGCUCCAUUAGCAACCUUAAGCAAUUUCACACAUUCGUUGAUUCAUGAAAUACCGUUUUAUCAUUUAUUGAACUUUAAUACCGUGAUAGGAAAUAGGGUGAGGGGUCCUUACACGUUUCGGGGUCCGAACACGGCUUCACAGUGCGCCUACAGGCUGUCCCUAAUUUUCCCUGAAUUUUUU
rnacentral:lncRNA from 1 species